CCCCUCUCAGGGUUGCACCUGGAGAGUUUCCAGUACUCUACCAGUCUCGGCUACAAGAGGGAGAGUCAAGUAAUGGCCUACCCAUUCCAUUCCUAGUGUGUGCAGUGACUAGUGAGUGGAAGGCAAUCUGCUACAAGU